CCUACGGGAGGCUGCAGUGGGGAAUAUUGGGCAAUGGGCGCAAGCCUGACCCAGCAACGCCGCGUGAAGGAAGAAGGCUUUCGGGUUUUAAACUUCUUUUAAGAGGGAAGAGCAGAAGACGGUACCUCUUGAAUAAUCCACGUCUAACUACGUGCCAGCAGCCGCGGUAAUACGUAGGUGGCAAGCGGUAGCCGGAUUUACUGGGUGUAAAGGGCGUGUAGUCGUGCUGACAAGUCAGUUGUGAAAUCCCGUGGCUCAACCACGGAACUGCAUUUGAAACUGUCGGUCUUGAGUAUCGGAGAGGCAGGCGGAAUUCCUAGUGUAGCGGUGAAAUGCGUAGAUAUCAGGAGGAACACCAGUGGCGAAGGCGGCUGGCUGGACGACAACUGACGGUGAGGCGCGAAAGCGUGGGGAGCAAACAGGAUUAGAUACCCCGGUAGUC
rnacentral:rRNA from 1 species